UGGUCCUCAGAUUUCAGCUCAGAAUAAACUCUCCCAAAUUUUCAUUUAUAGAUUAGUUAUGGAUUAUUUUCGUCGACAUCAUCUAUUCCUGCUUGGUCCCUACUGACCGGAGGAGUGGCUCAAUCUGAUGGAAUUUAUUUUCACAGUUGGGACAUCCUUAAAGGAUUUUCAAUGUGAGUGGAGCUACUGAUGACAUGCAGGCUGAGCAUGGCUGAAAGUAGGAGAGGAGAGAUCAUCGGUCAAGGGAGAGCAGGCAGGCGAAUGUCAAACUGUCCCCAUCUAGACCGUGGACUGAGUCCUUCCUCUUGGGCUGCGUCACCGUCCUUCCUUCUUUCCUGAAUCCAGUAGUGCUUGUCAGGCAUCUGAAAUGGCUGGGCAACUGCAAAUACGCAGGUGACUGAUGUUAUCAAGUCCCUGCCUUUAUGAGUUUAUAGUUCAACUGUGUUAACUAUUAAAGAAAACGACUGAAAUAAACACAAUCCUGCCUUACCAGCAGAGAGGAUCCUAAAGGGAUCAUGACCAGCAA